rnacentral:piRNA from 1 species
UCGCCAGAGUCUGUGAAGCCUGAUCGGCC